CGCGCGGGCCCGCGCGCGGACGUUACGUAUACGCGGGGCGAUACGCCGCGUAUCGUAAUUCGCAAUUUGCCCGAGCAUUCACCUUCGAAUUCCCGUUACUCACGUUCCGUAUCGUCGUCCUACACUCGACACCCGGGGCACCGCUCCCGGCGGUAGCCGUGUACCACCGCGAGCGGCGAAAUGGCUCGCGUGAUCGAUGCAGUUUUUCCUUUAUUUCACGUGAUAAGUAUCGUGCGCGAGAUGGAGAUCCUCGACGGCGAGGAGCGAAGCGGUAAGGAGUACGGGGGGCAAGGGGUGAAUUUGGAUAAGUGGAUGGAUGGAUGGAAAAUCUGCGGCCCAAAUCGGAUAGCGGAGAUACGUGCCUCCCUUUUUUUUCUCUUCUCUCGACUCGUGAUGAACGUGUUCACUUAUCUCUUCCUUCGGCAUUAUGUAACACCGAAAGGAAAGAAUAGCGGGCAUCCGAGAAAAACCGAGAAAGCGAGAGAGAAGAGUGUUUCGAUUCGCCAAACGAUGAACCAUUUCAGGUUGGUCGAGGAGGAUCGAUUCUCAGCAUAACGAGAGAGCAACUUUCUACUCACGGUAUUCGUAUAAAGUUCAGCUCCACGUUUGUAAUUUGCGGUUUGCUGCGCGCGCAGCAAUCAGAUCGGUAACGUGGACCGCUAAACGAUCUUACCCGAGAAGAGCAUCGGCUAUUCUCGUCCUUUCGUUUGCGUGAAAACUGAAAUGGCGGAACGGCUUUCUAAUGUAUCACGUGGAAAGAAAGAAAUUAGAAGAUUAUAGUGAAUUGCGUUUUCUCGUGUUUUUGUUCUCGAAACAAGAAUGGAAAUUAAAAAUUGUAUUCAAUAAAGAACAUACGUGGGACGUAACGAGCAAUUUAGAACGAUAAGAAUAAUUUUUUUGAGAGAAGGUUAUGUUUGAGAUAAGAUUAAUAAGAUAAUAAGUGAUGAAUGUAAAUAAAUGUAAAUGAAAUCAAGCUCGAAUUGUUAAAUUGGAAAAUAUAUAGAUCUAUGUGUUGAAUAAUACGAUAUUUUAUCCAUGGAUAAAUAAAGCAAAGUUUCAAAGUACUUCAAUUUCAAUCUCUUUGAUCAAUUAUAUACAUUUGCAUCGAUUUAUCAAAAUUUUAUUUUAAAAAACUAGGAGAAAAAUGAUAGAGAUAGAUGACAAAUUUCUGCGAGGAUUCGAUGAAUGAAUACCCGAGAGUGAUAUUAUUCACGUUACCUCGAGCGUGUCUAUAUAAUUUCUCAUUUACACAAUGGUGCACGAACGAUGCAUUUGCACCGUGUUGCAGCAAUGCAACUUUACUUUAACAUAUCGAUUCACGUACGUCGAAAGUUUCAGAAGGCCACGGCAAUACGAUUGAACGAGCAAAGCCUCUAAAAGAGACGAGAACUUUUACACGAAUUUAAACUUUCAUCAAGGUUACGCAUAUUAUUAAUUUUUCUAGUAAGGUUUAAAUAUAUUGCUGAAACCGAAGUAUGGAGUAUGUUUUUAUGCAUUCAUGAGAAAUACGAAUAUACAAAAAUGGAUAUCUUUGAAAGAGUUUAUUUUAUCGAUUCGCAACGAAUGUAUGAUUAUUCUCAAUGCCAUGGUAUACCUGCACGUGCAUAAACUAACAGCCAUGAAUAAAAUAACUUUCAUGAUAUAAUUAAAUGUAGAUAGAUGAUAUAACAAACACGAACUUUUCCCCUCUCUACUCUCUUAUACAAUACGAUUAGCAACGAAUUUUGAUACGCAUAUUUCUCCAGGUAUCGCAUGACUCCAUGCUUCUCACUGCAUUUCGUAUCAAAAUAAAAAUAAAUUUAAUUACAUUUAAAGAGAGAUGUUAUUUUACAACAUCAAACAACAUUUCAAACUUUUGAACCUCGCAAUCAAUUACCACGUAACGAGCCUGUCUCAUCAAUAUCACUUACCACAAAAUAAAUUUUUCUGUAUAUUAUUAUAUUAUAAUAAAUUUAAUUACACUUGCUGUCCAAUGGGUCAAUCCAAAUUUGUUCGUUUUUCGAUAGAAGGAAGAGGAUCCCGUCGUUUUGAUGAACAACGAACCGAUCAAAGGUCGAUCUUCGAUCGGUGUUAAUGAAAUUAGCGAGCGAUGGCCGAGGGAUAAGGCGCUGUGCAGAGCGGAAAACGCGCGGAAGAGUCGGCCCAGCCUGAUACCUGAUAUCGGUAUUAACUCGACCAUAAAGCAUUCCGCGGGCCCCGUCCACAAAGUGAUUGCGAUUGCGCCUCGGGCAUUACAACGCGCAGAUUUAUGAACAGGGGUUGCCUACGAACAAAAAUUGGGAAGGAGGUAAAAUAAGGGUUUCACUUGUAAAAGAACAAAGGGAGUAAUGAUAUAUGUAUAUGUAUAAGGGAUGUAUGUAAACGAUGAAGAAUGGUAAUGAAGCGGAUCUAAAGAGAUUUCAAGAUUCUGCCGAGAGGAUUCCGAUCCAAAUUGCCAGAAUCCUUCGAAUCUGGAGAGUGUUGGAGACGUUACAAAAUGCGUUCCGCAAUGCAGACACCGCGGAACCUUUGUACAGCUCGAUGCCAGCUGUGCGGAGUGCCAAGUAAAAACUGAAUAUUUGUCGCCUUAAUAUGUCCAAUAAAUAUGCUUCAAAUUGUGAGAAAAGACGCAGCAAAUGAAAAGCAAGGGGAAUAUUCGAUUUAUCAUAUUCAAAGUAAUUUUAGAUAAAAUGAACGGAUAUUUUUAAUUUUAUCAAAAAUUAUCGUUAAAAUAUUUACAAUAUCUCAUUUAUGCUACUGAAAUUUACGAAAUCUUUGAUCAGUUGCCAAAACUAGAGCUAAAAGUAAAAGCUAAAAAAUCACUAUACGUUUUCAAAAAUCAAAAUUUAUUCAAUCAAUAAAUACAGAAAAUUAAUAUAUUUCCGAAAAAUCAUAGAAAAAAAUAAAUAUAUAAUAUGUAAUUACAACAAAUAGAAUAUUUAAAUCAUCAAAAUACUUAAUAUCACGUUUAUCUUGCUAAAAUAAAAACUCUAUUUAAUAGCAAAAAAAAAAAAAAAUCACUGUACGAAAAACCAAUAUUUUCUUUCUAUUUCAAAAUGACAAUAACAGCCAAGAACAGAUUCGAACCAACAUGAAAAUAUACAAAACUGCAAGGGAAAACUUACUUAACGAAAUUUUCGACCAAUCGCGAAAUAAACUGGAAAAAAAUCGCAACACAGAUUCGAAAAAAAAUCAGGGAAAAGCAGAUUUUCUUCUAUUUCACCGCGAAUAACAGGAAUAUCUGGACAAUUGGUAACCCCCGCGGGGUUAAGCCGCGGCUCGCAAUAACCGAUCGACGCACAAACACAAUCCCACCUCUCUCAAUCGCCCGUUUCAUUUGCAAAUAUACAUACUUCCGCAUGCUGGUCGGUAAUGGCCGUUCGAAAUUGCUCGAUCUCAAUAAAAUGGCCACGAAACUUGGCGAACACUGUACAUAGACGGCGGUGCGCCAAUACCAGGGCAGAAAGGGACACGUGUGCAUCGAUGCAGGUGAGCGCACACGCGCACGCGAAUAUCUCGUUGCAAUUUUACAGGAACCCGACCAUCCUAGGGAAUUUAUAUUUCUCGUUAUCUUUCCCGCGUGCAUGCGCAUGUGUGCCGCGCAUACAUCGCAGCGUGCUACUCCGUCGGGACAAUUUUCGCGUGGAAAAGUUAACGUUUGUGGCACGCCAGCCGCGGAAACGAGGAAUAUUUCAUUCUGGAAGAUCGUUUGCUUCGUUUCUGGUGUCUUGACUACCUCUGCUGUGGAAGAGGAAUAGGAACGUUACGUCUCUUGGUCGAACGAAAUUGGACACAGAAUCCUUCCUUUCAAUUCUGGAGGAAACUUCCCCAUGAUAUCUUCAUGGAAGAUUCACAAAGAUCGAAUCAUCAAUUCCAGGAAUGGAAUUACCCCAAAAAUUUAAGUCGAAGAUCAAGGAUAUCGAGUUCCAUUAACUGAAAAGACCAAGCGAGGAUUCGUCCAAGAUAUUAAUUAAAAAAUAUUUAAAUCUUAUCAUUCGUGCACGUAUUUGGAAUAUCCAAUUAAAAUGCGAUCUCUUAUCUAUAUUAAAGAAAAAUGCGAUGGGAUCGAGUUGAUCGCGAGCGAGAUUUGAACAUUGACAGAGGAACGUAUCGCAGAUAAAUUUAGAUCUGAACUGUUAGUUCAGAAGUGAAAAAGAAGUUUUAAAUGGGAUAUAACAUUGAUAGAAAAUAGAUAAUUCGAGGGACGGAUGUUCUAAAUCGAGGAGUUUUUUUAAGAUGAACGACGUUUCUUCCCUUUAACUCAAUAACACUUCGUUUGAUCCCUUUCGACAUGAUCUGUUGCUUCAUGAUUUUCGUUUUGCACUUGAUUAACGAAAGAAAGGGAAACACUAAUUAUCGUUGGACAUAUCUUCGAUCAAAAUGUUUCUUCAAAGACAUAUUUUUUUAGUUUGAUACUACAAAUCUUGGUGGAUUUUUCGUAAGAGAAAGUGAGAAAAACUGGAACUUUGAUGAUGAGAUAGGGAAAUGGAAGUUUAAUCAAGCAUUUGAGAUACCUUUGAGAUACCUUGGGAAUAUUAGAUAUUGGAAAUUUAGAAUAUUCAAAUUUUAAAAAUUGGAUAUCUUCGAAUAUUUGAAUAUUUUAGAUUUAAUAAGAUUUUUAAGACGAGUUAAAUGUAAAAGUGAUCUGAACUGAAUCUGAACUGAGGAUUAACUUGAUCAAAUAAUAAUUCAGUAAAUUGAUCCUGAAAAUAUUGUUUUUUGAAUAUAAAUAUGAACACUAAGUUUGGAAGUGGUACUUGAUUUUACGUAAUAGUUUUACACCUUUCUCUCUUUCAAAUAAUCUCAUCAAAGAUUUAAGAAGGAGCAAUUCAAUUCGAACAAAUUACUCGAUCGAUUAAUGCAUUUCAACCAGUCACCCUUUCACCCUCCUAAAAGCUUUCAAUCCAAUCUUUUUAUAUUCGUUCCCCUUCAGCUCGCAAGCUCGAAAAGAGAGUUCAGAUUCGGUAGAAACAUUCGAUCCCAAGCAAUUUCCUCGAAAGGAAACACGAAACAAUCGCAUCGAUCACGAGAAUAAAUUAAUUCUCUUUUUCAAUCAAGAAACGGAAAAAUACGAGAUCGAUUACAAAUACCUCUUUUUUUUUUUCUAAAAAAAAUUUAUAAACUUUUAAAAGAUUAAAAGUUUCCCUCUACCUUCCUACAUCCUACAUCUUUAAAAAUUCCAAAAAAAAAAAAAACAAAUUCAAAAUAUCUCGAAUCUUUUUCCAAAUUCCUAUUCCCCUUUCCUCUAAACCGCGUCACCUAUGAGAAUAAAUCAUCCUCUCCCAUACCAGGCAAACCAGAAAAUCCCCAUCAAACGUGAAAAGAAUCCCCCGUGGAAAAAAGAAGAAGAAAAAGAAGAAAAAGAGGAGGAAAAAAAAAAAAAAUAUCCCCAGAUGAACCGGCGCUGAAGAACACAUGUGCAUUAUUCUCGCGUCUCAUCUGACGAGGACGCGAUAAAUCCCGACCCGGUUCCUCCUCCGCGCAUCCUCGUCUCUCCUUCAGGUGUUUCCUGCUCGUAUCCCCCGGUUUGUCUAUAUUUCACCUGGCAGGAUUUACGUUUGGUCGCCGCCACCGUCGCCGGUGUUGUCGUUCGAUGACCGGUCUCGCGGUUGCUCGCAGCUGCAGCUGCAGUUUCCUGGAUCCCCGGCACCCGAACGAUCGGCGGCCAUUUCUCUCUCUCUCUCUCUCUUUCUUUCUCUUUUUCUUUCCUUCUCCUUCUCCCUUCAUCUUCUCUUCAUCUCCUCCACUUUUCCCUCCUUUCCUUUCCCUCCUCCUUCCUCUCCUUUCCUUCUUUCUCUCUCUUUUCUCCUCCUCCUCCUCCUUCUCUCUCUUCCUCCUCCAUCCCUCAGCGUGUGUCUACGUGCUCCCUCGUACCUACGCAGCACAGGUAUGCGCGCACACACCUGGAACAUGUAGAACCAGUCCGUGACGUCACGUGAAGGACCCACCGUGAACACGAGAUCGUCCUGAUUUCCGGGUUCGGCUCCCGGUGCCGGCCACGACGAACGUGCGCCACGACGUCGAUUUAUUAAAUGCACCGCGGCGGGGGGAGGAGGAGGAGGAGGAGGAGGAGGAGGGCUUGUAUUAUUAUAUAUCUUCCCGUUGCACGGUUUUACACACGGGAAAGCUUGCACUUGAGUUAGGCUAAGCGUUGCCGCGACUCUGUCGCGACGAUGACAAAAUCGUUGAGAGGGAGGG